AAUUUCAGAUAGGCCAGAUGAUGCAGUUGAUGUCUUCCAUACUUACUUUGGAGUUGCUGGACUUUCACUUCUUGAGUAUCCAGGAAUAAAGCCGAUAGAUCCUGCUUAUGCCUUGCCUGUUGAUGUUGUAAACCGAGUUAUGCUUGGCAGAUAAUCUCUGGGUUUUUGCUCCAUUCUAGCUAAUAACAGCAUUCUCUUGAUAUGAGAUUAGCAGAAACAGUUUCCCUUGAUGACAGGCGGAUUGCGUUACCAAUGCUGCAACAUUUUUUCAUCAUAACGGCUCUUUCAGGAAGAAACAAACCUAAAGCAGGGAUCCAGGAUUUUAACUUUAUGGGUUUAGCCUUUGUAGUUUUCAGCAUAACUCAUUAUAAU
rnacentral:misc_RNA from 1 species